AUUGAACGCUGGCGGCAGGCCUAACACAUGCAAGUCGAGCGAGCGGCGGACGGGUGAGUAAUGUAUGGGGAUCUGCCCGAUAGAGGGGGAUAACUACUGGAAAAGGUGGCUAACACCGCAUCCUAUCGGAUGAACCCAUAUGGGAUGGGGUAGUUGGUGAGGUAAAGGCUCACCAACCCGACGAUCUCUAGCUGGUCUGAGAGGAGCACCAGCCACACAGGAACUGAGACACGGCCCAGACUCCUACGGGAGGCAUCAGUGGGGAAUAUUGCGCAAUGGGGGCAACCUGACGCAGCCAUGCCGCGUGAAUGAAGAAGGCCUUCGGGUUGUAAAGUUCUUUCAGUAGAGAGGCGUUGACUACAGAAGAAGCACCGGCUAACUCCGUGCCAGCAGCCGCGGUAAUUC
rnacentral:rRNA from 1 species